UUUUGGCAAAGACUUUACGCUCUUUCCGCUCAGUGCAAAGUCUUUGCGCUUUAUUGGCAAAGUCUUUGCACUCUCUUGCAAAGUGAGUGUGCAAAGUGUUCCACAAAGCGUUUUAUCAACUUUGCAUUUCUGUCUCAUCACUUUUCACUUCGCAUUGCUUUAUAUGUGUUGUUAAAAUGAGCCGCAAAAUACAAAUUAAAAAAAAAACUUGCUGUUUUAAAUGUGAUAAAAGAAAAAAAAAAGCAUUUUAUUUGCUAGUUUUAAAAACAACAGAAUAAGUUAACAAAUUAGAUAAACAGGCAGCAUGGGAGGAUGUGUUAUAAAAAGUCCAAUCCCUACAACUGGCGUCAGCACAAAAAACAUGGACCUAUGCAAGGGACAGUUUGUUUGGGCUCUGGAAGAGCCGGACAAUGAGUAAAAGGGAUAACGCCCGAAAUACUGGAUCCGGAGGUGGGAAGGAGAAGGUAAUGGAUGAAGCUGACUUGGCCAUACUCGAUAUUCUGGAAUCAGACUCAGCUGUGGUAGAUGGUUUGAAUUUGCCAGAAAGUUAUGGCAACUCAGAAAAUCUACCGUCAGCUGAGAAUGAUUCCAGAAUAUCUAUUUCAGAAGAAACAAUUGCCAAUCCACCUCUAAACCCAAGAAAGAGGAAGCGCUCUACCAAGUUUCCAAGUGAAACUUUGGAUAGAGAGAAAAAAUGCCGGAUGGAGCUCCUUGAGGUUGAGGUUUACUACCGGAAACUUCAAUGCCUAAAA